rnacentral:rRNA from 1 species
UACGUAGGAGGCAAGCGUUGUCCGGAAUCACUGGGCGUAAAGCGCACGUAGGCGGACUCUUAAGUCGGUGGUGAAAUCCUGGAGCUCAACUCCAGAACUGCCUUCGAUACUGAGAGUCUCGAGUCCGGGAGAGGUGAGUGGAACUGCGAGUGUAGAGGUGAAAUUCGUAGAUAUUCGCAAGAACACCAGUGGCGAAGGCGGCUCACUGGCCCGGUACUGACGCUGAGGUGCGAAAGCGUGGGGAGCAAACAGG